GACAUUUUCAGACAUUGUUGGAUUAGUCUGUGGCAUCUUCCAAUUGGUUUUUGCAACAAUAAAUUAUGCCUUUCUGUCUCAGCACUAUGAUAAUCCAAUCAAAUUAUCAGUUUGGCCUAUAAUCUUUGCCUUCGGGGUGUUGUGUUCCAGAUUUCCAAGGAAUAGAGUUGAUUCAAUUUCAAAGCAGAAUUUUGAUCCUGUGCCAAUAUUGCCUUCGCGGGCGCCAAUUUUGAAGGAAAUAAUGGAUUCACUGAGAGAUCCUAAUAUUAACAUCCUUGGUGUUUGUGGGAUGGGCGGGGUGGGUAAGACCACCCUAGUAAAGGAGGUCGUUAGACAAGCCCAAUUAGAGUAUCUAUUUGAUGAUGUGAUUUUUGUUACUGUAUCAGAAACGCCAAAGAUCAGAGGAAUUCAAGCGGAUGUUGCUGAAUUCUUGAGCCUUCGUCUUCAUGAGGAGGAAAUAUUCCUAAGAGCAAAUCGACUACGUGAGAGGUUGAAGAAAGAGAAGAGGAUACUUAUCAUUCUUGAUGAUAUCUGGACAACACUUCAAUUAGAGGAAGUGGGAAUUCCAUUUGGGGCUGAUUGCAAGGGAUGCAAAAUAUUAUUAACUUCAAGGGGAAGAGAUGUGUGCCAUGGGAUGGGUGCGCAGAAAGUGUUUCCACUUGAAGUCCUUUCAAAAGAAGAGGCAUUGAAUUUGUUUGAAAUCACUGCAUCUGUUUCCGAAGAACCGUAC
rnacentral:misc_RNA from 1 species